rnacentral:lncRNA from 1 species
UAAUCGUGAACUUGUAUGAGUUGAUAUUUUCUAUUAUGCAUGCAAUCGAAGUUUUAUGGAUCUUUAGUAUUUGGAUUUAUACGUUGUGGUUUUCUACCCCUCGAGGUAGUCGGUUUUCAAAAAUAGAGUUUCCGAAUGGGAAACAGUUUUAAAAAGUUUUUAAAUGAUUGUUCAUGGAUAAACAAAUAGAGUUUAAAAAUAAAUCUUUCGGAUGGGGAGUACUUUUAAAUAGGAUGACUGUUGUAUUGUGCAUCGCAUCAUCCAGAGCCUAAGCAGUGUUUAGAGACAUACAUCAUCUUUAAGGAUCGCUAGCUGUAUGGAAUUGCAUCGCAUGAAUUGCUUGUGGAUUGGUAAAUAUAGAUUGUGAGUUAUGAUCCUUUUGUUGUUAUCGUUAGGUACGCCGUGCAAAUAUAAAGGAGACUCUGUCCGUGUGGGUAGAGGAAUUUUAUAAUUGUGGCGAGUACGCCACGUGGGCAGGUUGAAUUCAAAAAAAAAAGGCACUUUUUCCACCACUCUGAUUUUUUUAAAAAAAAUAGUAUUUGAUCAUUAUAAAAAGGAAUUUAAAAUCGGCCCCAGAGCGUGAUAGAAAAAUAGAAUAAAUUAACAGCGUAAAUUAGUGAACAUCGCUGAAGUUUCCAACAUUUGAUUAAAAAUGAUAUUAAAUAUAAUAAAGUAGCAGUACUUAUUGCUAAAUAUCGUCACUAAUCAAUAUAUAAUUAUUAAUAUAUCCCAUUUUAUACAUAGAAUUAAAAAUUUUAAAAUUAAAGUUUAGAAAUUUGAAACUUAUAAUUGAAAAAAUUAAAUUAUAAUUUAAAAUUUUAUAUUUUAAAUUUUAAAUUCUAAACUUUUAAAAUUUAAAAUUAUUUUAAAUUUUAAAGUUUUAAAUUUUUAUUUAUUUUAAAUUUAAAACUGCAUAUUUUGAAAAUUAAUAUUUGAUAUUUAAAAAUUAAAAAUUUGAAUUUAAAAUCUAAAUUUAGAAUUUAAAUUUAAAAUUUUAAAAUUUAGAAAUUAAAAACUUAAAAUUUAAAAUUAAAAGAAUUCAAAUAUAUAUAACCGACAGCCCCUAGCGCAAGUGGCAAAGGGCUUGGUGAUUAGUAAUCUGAGGUCUCAACUUCGAAUUGUUGAGUCACAUUUCCAACUAAGUUUAUUUGUAAAGGAAAUAAAAGCGGGUAGAAUGCUACAUUUCUCUAAAAAAAAUUCAAUAACAAAUAUAAAUUUCAAUUUCAGUUUAAAUUUAAAAAUUGAAUCUAAAAUAAAAUUAAAAUUUUAAAAUUUGAGUACCCAAAAUUAGGUAUUUGUAUUAGUGGCAUUAUAUUUAUGCAUCAUUAAUAAACAACUUAAAAUUAACAUUUAACAGCUCUUUUAGCAGUAUAUUGCUAAUGACACCAAUUGAUUUACAUUGACGGCAUUCAUUAUAAAUACUGCCAAUACUUUUAGCAAUAUUGGCAUAUGGAGUAUUUUGUGUCAUAUGCUGCCAAAACUUU